GAAACCUCGAAAAGAAACGCCCUGAAGCUGAUAAAGUGGCUUCAGAAGAGGAAACUGCUAAAAAGAAAAGUCAAAUGCAAAAUAUGCCAUCAGGAUAUGAAACUGAAAAAGAGGACGAACAGUGGAGAUCUAUAUGCUUGGACCUGUCGCCAUACAGCACAUAUGGGAAAGGAAAAACAAAAAUCCAUCAGGCACAAGUGAAUCUUCAGUCAUUCAAAGGUCUCCCUCAGUAACUGGAUGCAGUUCAUGUACAGAUUUUGUCAGGGUCUACGAUUACGACAGAUUGAUAUGAUGGAUGACACAAUUGCAGCCAGUUCAACCACUCUCACUACAAUGUCACAGCAGUGGAAAGGAUGAGAAGGCGUACAGGCCAACAGAUUGGUGGAAGAAGGGAGUUUGUUGUGAUCGAUGAGAGCCUUUUUCGGCACAAAAGAAAGGUAUGUUGGUAAAUGGACCUGUACUUGUAUAGCGCCUUUCUAGUCUUUCGACCUCUCAAAGCGCUUUUACACUAAGUGCCACAUUCACCCUUUCACACACAUUCACACAGUGAUGGCAAAGCCCAUCGAACAGAAACUAACUCAUUCAUACACAUUCACACACCGAUGCACGGCAUCAGGAGCAAUUUGGGGUUCAGUAUCUUGCUCAAGGAUACUUCGACAUGUUGCACCAGGAGCCGGGGAUCGAACCCACAACCUUCCGAUUAAGGAACAAUCCACUCUGCCUCUGAGCCACAGCCAUAGUAAUAGUGACUGUAAUUAAGUGUCAAAUACAGUCAAACAAGUUAUUGUAAUAGGAUGUAUCUGUUUACGUCUGUGUUUGUUGUUUUGUUUCCGCAUCAGUAUGGGAGAGGAAGAAUGGCUGGUGGGUGGAAAAGAAAGAAGUGGGUCUUUAGGAUGUUAGGUGUGAGGCAUCAUCAAGGACGAAGAAAGCCUAAUCUACGUCUUGUGGAGAGAAGAUCUCGAAGACAUCUAGUCCCCUUGAUUGCCCAUUAUGUGAGGCUUGAAUCUACAGUUAUCAGUGAUGAGUGGCGUGCGUAUCGCAUACUCUCUGCACUAGGGUACAACCAUCACACUGUCAACCACAGCAGGUGUGUGAAAGGGUGAAUGUAGAUCCCCAAACUGGUGCCCAUACCCAGCAUCUUGAGAGGGCCUGGAGAUCCUAGGAGCAGAUCUGGAGGCUUAGGGGAAAUCGCACUGACAGUUUGCUUUCCGACCACCUUUCAGUGAUUGAGUGGAAUGAAUGGCUCGCAGAGAAACACUGUAAGGGUGCAUUUGACUGAUUCAUGACAUUUCCAAGUAGUCAUAUGCAGUCACUGUAACCGUUGUUAGCAAGACUUUCUUUCUGUGAGACAAAUUCCAAGAAUUCAGUGCACUUUGUUUUUGUAGUGUCGUAAAAUUCAAAUGUGUUGAGUAUAUAUAUUUUGUCUGUCUCAAAUAAUUUUUAGACGUUUCUUUGAGAUAGGAUUUAGAAUUACGUUAAAUUGUGUGUGUAAAUUAUUUUUGAUACAGAAAGUUUGUAAUUUUUUCAAACAAAGAUUUUAUUUUUUGAUACAGAGUUUUUAUUUUUUGAUAGAGUUUUUAUUUUAAAACAAAGAUUUUAUUUUUCAUAUUUGAAACGUCUGUGAUCCACUGUUGAU